rnacentral:lncRNA from 1 species
AAAUAUAUUUUUUUUUUGUUUACAAAGAAUUAAUAUCUGAAGGAAAGUUCAGGGUCCAUAGAGUAGGAAAGUUGUACAGCUGUAUUGAUAAACAGUGGGCCCUGUGAUGUAUGAACAUGAGGUACUGCAGUGUUAUAUCAAGUGAAAAUAAUAGUACUUGUCAAGAUAAAAUCUUUUUUUUCGUUCCCGAAAAAAGACCUAAGAGAAGUAUGGUUUACAAGCCAACCUUCCUCCUGGAAUCCGAAAAAAUGGAGUGUGAUAUGCUCAGACCAUUUUUCUCCUGAUGACCUUAAUAGGGUUUCUAAAAGACUACGACCUAGAGCCAUACCAUCCUCUAACCCCAAGUCAUCAGCAAUUCAAGGUCAUUCCUAUGCAACCCAGGAGACCACACUUAAUAGACUGUCUGCUGCAAACAACGAUUUACAACAGCUUAACAACAAACUUCGAGUAUGGAACACCAGGUUAAAGCAGAAAGUAAAAUCAUUGGAGGAUGCCCUGGAGGUGGAGAAUGUAAAAUCUCAGAGAACCAAGAUCCGAGUUCAGCUGUCCAAGUUGAUCUUGUUCAAAAAUCAGUAGGAAGGAAGAAUCCCUCAUUUUUGUUAUCAAUAUUAUAUAAACAAUAUUUUUUUAAAUAAAAAAUUUGGCCUUUUUU